ensembl:lncRNA
AAAAUAUCACUCAUUGAAAGAUGUAUUAAUAUCCCCUUUAGACCUGUAGCAUUCCCAAAAAUCAAUACUUGGCCACAUUUUGUGUGCUCAAAGAUCAGACGCUGAGUUUCCAGCUCCUGCUGCACAUGCUUCAUCACUGCCAGCUCUGUUUAAAGCUGAGCGGCUGCUGUAUGUAACCUCUCUGUUCAAUCUCCUUCAUGAGCUGCUGUCAUGAUGCUUUCUCAUCAUAGAGCUUCAGAGCUGAGUUUAGGCACGUUAACUAAAACAAAAGGUUACUGCAGUGAUUGAGAAAGACAGAUUGUUUUGAGACGUGUCCAAUGUAUCAAAACUUGAGACGGCUGAUAAAACCACAGAAGCCAAGACUUUGGGCUGCUGAUCUAAUGUGUUUGUAGUGCGAUCGGGGCUAGUUGUCACACUGUGGAAGUCUAUAUUCUCUGUUUUAUGUUAAUGUUUGAGCAAGCUGUCUAUAUAUUAUUUGUGAUAGGCUUUACAUAUAAAUGUUUUUAUAUUAUAUUAUUAUAUCCUUUAUAUAUUAUUUAUAUUUUAAUGUUAUUUUAUACAGUUCUUUAGACCUUACUCAUGGUUUUUGUGCUUGGGUGGUUUUUUAAUGAUAAAUUGUUUUCAUGUUUUUUUCCCCUCUNACACACACACACACAUACACAUUACAUUUUUAAAUGAUUUUAACAUUGUAAAAAAAUUACAAUUGUAUUUAUUAUUAUUUGUGUGAUCUUUAUUAUUUGUUAUUAUCAAAUGUUAAUAACUGAAAAUGUAUAUUUCUGUUUUUAAAAUGCUGUUUAAUAAAAUAUUGAUGUUUUCUUUGUCUAGAUGCGGCAUUUUCCAGCUAUAUAGUAUAAUGAUAAUUGAGGAUUCAGCCGGAAAGCCGCUAUUUGCAGACACAGCUCCCUUAUCAAAAGUCUAAACAGCUGAAAACUUCAGAGCAGGAUUCACACAGCGCUCUCAUUUCCAUACAGGCAACACGACAGAUGAACACAUGCACAUUCUCCACCUCAUAUUCUUUCAUUCAUUCAAACAUUAACAAUCUCCUGCAAUGUCAGUCCAUAAGAAUCAUAAUAUUUGGCUAACUGUCUAUUCAAAUAUUUAGGGCUGGGGGGUGGGUUUGCUCCUGUGUUCCAGCAGGAGGGAUGUUCUGUAUUUACUAAAGUAACCAAUGUUCCUCAGGUUUGGUUGCAUCCUUUCUUUUCCUCUUAAAGGGAUAGUUCAGUCAAAAGUAAAAAAUCUAUUUUUUAUUUAUUUACACCUUGAAGUGAGUUUGGAAUGACCCCAGGGCAAAUAAAUAAUGACAGAAUCUUCCCUGCUGUCA